GCCAGUCAGGAUGGUACAUGGGAGAAGAGGAGUACUCCAGUGGAGUAUGGGAUAUGGGUGCCGCUUGUGCUCUGUUGGGUUAAGGACAGGUGUUUUCCAUCUCCGUGAUCAGCUGGGAGGUUUAAAAGGAGCAUGCUGCCAGCACUUCGAUGCCUGAGUGUUUUGCCUCUAUGGUUCAGUUUUGGACACAGCUCAAGUUCCUUUGAAGAACCUACCUGCCUUCACCUUUUCAUGCCAAGAAUUCGAGUUUGGAUAUUCCGUCAAGCUCCGCUGGCAGCAACCGGACUCCAUAACCUCAGCUUCCUCCGAGCGAACCUUGUCCACCCUCCAACGAGCGGCACCUCUGGACUCCAUCUGAAAGAACGUACCGAACCUAAGUUCUGAUCCUUGGGAAGGAUCAGUUAAACCUACGUAACCAGGUUACCAAGCUUACCAGACCAGGAACCUUAUCUCCUCCAGUGAGCCAUCCACACCUACAACUGUAAGAUACAUUACACAGCGAAUCCUAACUGUUACAAUCCACCACUUACCUGUUACCUCUCCAUGCAGCGGAGGAGUUCCUGUCCCGGACCACGCCUUCCACGAUCCUGUGAUAAAAUAAACGCUUUAAACUUUA